CGAGUCCAAAACUAGUUUGUAUUCUUCAUAGCUGCCUCGCCUGAUUUGGAUGAUCUAGACUUUCCGAGUAUCCGUCUGUCGACUGCAAAGGCUGUUGUAACUGUAUGAGCCGGAGUUAUCAGGACUAGAUCAUUUGUCUACGUUCUCCACUGCAGCACUUGGCGUGGGGCGCUGGUCUCUGUCGCGGCCCCUGCGCUCCCCGGUCCCAAAGGAUAGAAAGUCAAUCAGAGUUUCUUCUUAAGCCUGUCUUAAAUAGCAGCAUAUUUCUACUAGAGACUUGUAAGUACCCUUUUUCUUCUCUCUGUAGGAAAGUAGAUAUUAAUUUACUGGAAAGAAAUGUCCUUUUUAGUAAAAUGACAAAAUAUAGCUAUGCAUAAAUGUAAUCAUUACGUAUUGCAGAUAUGUACCAAUAAAAUUAAAAAGAACAUUGUCAGCACCCUG
rnacentral:lncRNA from 1 species